UACGAAGGGGGCGAGCGUUGUUCGGAAUCACUGGGCGUAAAGGGCGCGUAGGCGGCCCUUCUUGUCGCGUGUGAAAGCCCCGGGCUCAACCUGGGAAUGGCGCGCGAGACGGGGGGGCUGGAGUUCGGGAGAGGAGCGUGGAAUUCCCAGUGUAGAGGUGAAAUUCGUAGAUAUUCGCAAGAACACCAGUGGCGAAGGCGGCUCACUGGCCCGAUACUGACGCUGAGGCACGAAAGCGUGGGGAGCAAACAGG
rnacentral:rRNA from 1 species